GACAGAGGGUGCAAACGUUGUUCGGAUUUACUGGGCGUAAAGCGCGUGUAGGCGGCUUGGCAAGUCGGAUGUGAAAGCCCACGGCUCAACCGUGGAAGCGCAUCCGAAACGGCCUCGCUCGAGUCUCGGAGAGGAAGGUGGAAUGCUUGGUGUAGAGGUGAAAUUCGUAGAUAUCAAGCAGAACACCUGCGGCGAAGGCGGCCUCUGGACGAUGACUGACGCUGAGACGCGAAAGCGUGGGGAGCAAACAGG
rnacentral:rRNA from 1 species